rnacentral:lncRNA from 1 species
GUAAACGGUGUGUAUGAUAUGCUAGGUCUGGUAACAACGGUUGUGUAUGAUAUGCUAGGUCUGGGUAACAACGGUGUGUAUGAUAUGCUAGGUCUGGGUAACAACGGUGUGUAUGAUAUGCUAGGUCUGGGUAACAACGGUGUGUAUGAUAUGCUAGAUCUGUGACUAACUGAAUCACUGUCUAUCUGACAGUUCUGGAUGAGUGCUGUUUAAAUAGUCAUACAUUCAUUUUUUUCAUUAUUUUUAUUAACUUUAUUUUCCAUCUAGAUAAACUUGACCUAAUAUCGCAAUUGCUUACUAACGAUUAUAACCAAUUGUUUUGCGAAUUUUGAAGUCUGUCUCUUAUUAAGCAUUCUACGUUUCCUCAUUCCAACUGUCGUUUGAUGCUCCAGCAGCUAAUUGGCUAGAUGCGCGAGGGUGUGGAAGUCCUAUAGGCUAUGGCACUUCAGUCUUUGAUGUGUGGACGUUCUUUUAUGCAGUGCACGUGUUCAUUGCUUGCUAGUAAAUAAAUAAAGCGGUCUUUUAAAACAGGUUGGGUGCGUCUGAUUUAUUCAUUUAAUUAUUCAACAGCAGUCGACAAGGUUCUGGCUCUGAGCCCUAUAAUACACCAAUGUUGUGUCAAAUAGACAAUGCUAUCCCUCCAGGCAUGGUAUGAUAUGGAAUCUGUUAAUUAUGUAUAGACUAAUCUAUGCUGAUAAAUAGGCUAUGGACAUUUGUGUGUAUUUGUUUCUAUUUGAAUGAUUGUCAGUUUCAUCUUCAUACUAUAUCAUAGCUGUCUCCCUGCGUACUGUCCUUGUCAAUUCAUUAUCUUGUAGCCUACUUUCAGAAAGCCUAAGGUAGGCCUAGGUUUUUUAAUAGGUUUUACGGAAAGAAUAUUUGCUCUUGUGUCUGACAUACACUGGUGGCUUUGAUUGACUGGUCUUUUUACAGGGGGUGGUGCUGUGUGAACACUGUUUCUCUCUAUAGGCCUGUAUGUCCAUUCUGAUUCUCUCUAUAGGCCUGUAUGUCCAUUCUGAUUCUCUCUAUAGGCCUGUAUGUCCAUUCUGAUUCUAUAUUGGCCUAUAUGUCCAUUCUGAUUCUAUAUUGGCCUAUAUGUCCAUUCUGAUUCUAUAUUGGCCUAUAUGUCCAUUCUAGAUUCGAAUAUUGGCCGAAUUGUUCA